AUGGGAGGCAUCAGAGAAGAAGAUCACCACCAUCACCAACCCUCGGAGCUCCCCCUGGGCUUCCGGAGCGCCCCGCCACCGCCGAUGAUCGCCUCUUCCUCCAUGAGCAAGGAGUCGACGAGCUACGACAUGGCAGAUUUCGAUCAAACGGCAAUAUUUCUCUACCUAGAUGGUCAUGACCCACAGUCGAUUCAGGAACAACGACAAACUCUGAACAUCUUCCCCUCGCAGCCCAUGCAUGCCGCCGAGCCGCUUAACCCUGCCGCAAAGAUUAAUGGCGGCGCAGUCAUGGCGGCCAUGCUUGCUAAUGGCGGUAACCCGCAGCAGGCGUCUCCAAAGAGGCCUGAACAGCAGCAGCUGGUGCUGCAAGGUGCCGCCGGCGGCCCCAAUGCAACACCCUUGCUGACUGGUUCAGCCAAGGACAACAAGAACAGUGCCAGUCUCAUCAAGAAGGAAGGAACCAGCAGUGGGAAGGGUGCAACAUCAUCUAGCACAGACCCAGAUAGGGAAGGGAGCAGGAGAACACAGGACCCUAAGACACUGAGGAGGCUUGCACAGAAUAGAGAGGCAGCCAGGAAAAGUAGGCUCAGGAAGAAGGCUUACAUCCAACAGUUGGAGACAAGUAGGAUUAGGCUAAGCCAGAUCGAACAACAGGUUCAAGCAGGAAGAGUACAGGGUGUCUUGUUGGGUGCUGGAGAUCACCACCAAGGCCUUCCUUCUGCCCCUUCAUUUGCUGGUAUGUUUGAUGUGGAGUAUGGGAGAUGGGUGGAAGAGCACAGCAAGCUGAUCUUCCAGCUCAGGGCAUUGUUGAACGACAAUGCGCCGGACAACCAGGUGCAGGUGUUGGUCGGUGGUGCCAUGGCACAUCAUGAAGAGUUGCUAAACCUCAAGGCCGCGAUUGCCAGGACUGACAUUUUCCAUCUCUUAUGCGGUGUGUGGGCUAGCCCCGCAGAGCGUUGCUUCCUUUGGUUGGGUGGGUUUCGGCCCACAGAGUUCAUCAAGGUAAUGUUGAAGCAAGUGGAGUCGCUGUCAGAGGGGCAGCUCCUGGGAAUCUACAACCUCCAGCGGUGGGUGCAGGAGACGGAGGAGUCGCUGAACCACACCAUGGGGACCCUCCAGCACUCCCUCUCCGACACCAUCGCCUCCCCGGAGGCCGCCGGCGGCAACUUCAUGGGCCACAUGUCCCUCGCCCUCAACAAGAUCUCCUCCAUGGAAGCCAUCGUCAGGCAGGCAGAUGGGCUGAGGCAGCAGACCCUGCACAAGCUGCACGGCAUGCUGACGGUCCGACAGACCGGCUGCUGCUUCGUCGCCAUCGCCGACUACUUCCACCGCCUCCGCGCCGUCAGCACCCUCUGGGCUGCCAGGCCACGGCACGACGAGCAGGGCCCGCCGGCGCCGUAG
rnacentral:rRNA from 1 species